UAUCGCUGAGAGAUGGGCUCGCGGCCGAUUAGGUAGUUGGUGAGAUAACAGCCCACCAAGCCGACGAUCGGUAGCCGGACUGAGAGGUUGAACGGCCACAUUGGGACUGAGACACGGCCCAGACUCCUACGGGAGGCAGCAGUGGGGGAUAUUGCACAAUGGGGGAAACCCUGAUGCAGCGACGCCGCGUGAGGGAAGACGGUCUUCGGAUUGUAAACCUCUGUCUUUAGGGACGAAGAAAUGACGGUACCUAAGGAGGAAGCCACGGCUAACUACGUGCCAGCAGCCGCGGUAAUACGUAGGUGGCAAGCGUUGUCCGGAAUUACUGGGUGUAAAGGGAGCGUAGGCGGGGAGACAAGUUGAAUGUUUAAACUAUCGGCUCAACUGAUAGUCGCGUUCAAAACUAUCACUCUUGAGUGCAGUAGAGGUAGGCGGAAUUCCUAGUGUAGCGGUGAAAUGCGUAGAUAUUAGGAGGAACGCCAGUGGCGAAGGCGGCCUACUGGGCUGUAACUGACGCUGAGGCUCGAAAGCGUGGGUAGCAAACAGGAUUAGAUACCCUGGUAGUCCACGCCGUAAACGAUGAUUACUAGGUGUGGGGGGACUGACCCCUUCCGUGCCGGAGU
rnacentral:rRNA from 1 species